rnacentral:rRNA from 1 species
GACGAACGCUGGCGGCGUGCUUAACACAUGCAAGUCGAACGGAAAGGCCCUGCUUUUGUGGGGUGCUCGAUUGGCGAACGGGUGAGUAACACGUGAGUAACCUGCCCUUGACUUUGGGAUAACUUCAGGAAACUGGGGCUAAUAUCGGAUAGGAGCUCCUGCUGCAUGGUGGUGGUUGGUAAGUUUCGGCGGUUGGGGAUGGACUCGCGGCUUAUCAGCUUGUUGGUGGGGUAGUGGCUUACCAAGGCUUUGACGGGUAGCCGGCCUGGGAGGGUGACCGGCCCCAUUGGGACUGAGAUACGGCCCAGACUCCUACGGGAGGCAGCAGUGGGGAAUAUUGCACAAUGGGCGGAAGCCUGAUGCAGCAACGCCGCGUGCGGGAUGACGGCCUUCGGGUUGUAAACCGCUUUCGCCUGUGACGAAGCGUGAGUGACGGUAAUGGGUAAAGAAGCACCGGCUAACUACGUG